GAUGAACGCUGGCGGCGUGCCUAAUACAUGCGAGUCGAGCGAACAGACGAGGAGCUUGCUCCUCUGACGUUAGCGGCGGACGGGUGAGUACCACGUGGAUACCCUACCUAUAAGACUGGGAUAACUUCGGGAACCCGGAGCUAAUACCGGAUAAUAUAUUGAACCGCAUGGUUCAUUAGUGAAAGCCGGUUUUGCUGUCACUUAUAGAUGGAUCCGCGCCGCAUUAGCUAGUUGGUAAGGUAACGGCUUACCAAGGCGACGAUGCGUAGCCGACCUGAGAGGGUGAUCGGCCACACUGGAACUGAGACACGGUCCAGACUCCUACGGGAGGCAGCAGUAGGGAAUCUUCCGCAAUGGGCGAAAGCCUGACGGAGCAACGCCGCGUGAGUGAUGAAGGUCUUCGGAUCGUAAAACUCUGUUAUUAGGGAAGAACAAAUGUGUAAGUAACUAUGCACGUCUUGACGGUACCUAAUCAGAAAGCCACGGCUAACUACGUG
rnacentral:rRNA from 1 species